rnacentral:rRNA from 1 species
UACGUAGGGGGCAAGCGUUGUCCGGAAUCAUUGGGCGUAAAGCGCGUGUAGGCGGUUCGGUAAGUCGGCUGUGAAAGUCCAGGGCUCAACCCUGGGAUGCCGGUCGAUACUGCCGGACUAGAGUUCGGAAGAGGCGAGUGGAAUUCCCGGUGUAGCGGUGAAAUGCGCAGAUAUCGGAGGGAACGAACCAAUGCCGGUAGGGCG